CAAAAAAAUUGCAUAGAGGAUGGAGGAUGCUCAGUUGUGUGUGUAUACAUGUAUGUGUGUGUGUGUGUGUUC